GUGGCUUUAAUCGACAAGUUCCAGUAACAAGACUAUCAUAACAGAAAACUGAAGGCUUGAAGAGAGCUGUAUCUCCAAAUGUAAAUGUCAUCUGCAAAGCUCAAACAUAUGUGGGAAUAAGACAUCACUACUAGACAAUAUGAACCACAUUCCCCGAAGACUGUUGAAAGAACUGUAGCAAUGAUGUAAAGAGCCAAUACGUUUUAGUGCUGGGUGCCAGUAAUGUCUUGGCUAGUGAAGUUGGAUGAAGCACAGUUGAAGCAGGACCACAGACCGGAAAAGUUGUUAAAGAAACUACACAAAAUUAUGUGAAGCUGAAUCCUAAGGACUGUCAAAUAAGCAUGAGCUGUAUAUAGUGCAUGGGACAUGUGUUACAGAGCACAGAUCACAGCCUGAUGCCGAGAAAGUGAAGGCCGUGGUGUGAAUGGAAUGGUCUGAGGAUAAAAAUGAUUUGCAAAUGACUCUGGGAAUUGUUCAGUAUCUCAGCAAAAUUCUAACAAGUGCUUGAAAAAAUGUUGUGUGGCUGUUGUAAUUAAGACACAAUGCAACUCUGGAAUUUUGAAGAAGAUGAUCACAGAAUCUCCUAUUUUGAAAUAUUACAAUGUCAGCAGUUAUUCAGGUUCAUCCAUUGAGAAGGCCUUAUUCUCCAGAUACAUGUUAUGUGAAGAAUGCUCUUUCAGGAUGGUGUCAUACCCAACACCCCUGCUGGAACAGACGUCAUCGUAAGUUUCAUAAUCCACC